CCUACGGGGGGCAGCAGUGGGGAAUAUUGGACAAUGGGGGGAACCCUGAUCCAGCGACGCCGCGUGAGUGAAGAAGUAUUUCGGUAUGUAAAGCUCUAUCAGCAGGGAAGAAAGAAAUGACGGUACCUGACUAAGAAGCCCCGGCUACCUACGUGCCAGCAGCCGCGGUAAGACGUAGGGGGCAAGCGUUAUCCGGAUUUACGGGGAGGAAAGGGAGCGUAGACGGCAGUGCAAGUCGGGAUUGAAAGGCGGGGGCUCAACCCCCGGACUGCUCUUGAACCUGUACGGCUGGAGUGCAGGAGAGGUAAGUGGAAUUCCUAGUGUAGCGGUGAAAUGCGUAGAUAUUAGGAGGAACACCAAUGGCGAAGGCGGCUUACUGGACUGUAACUGACGUUGAGGCUCGAAAGCGUGGGGAGCAAACAGGAUUAGAUACCCUUGUAGUC
rnacentral:rRNA from 1 species